rnacentral:rRNA from 1 species
UACGUAGGGGGCAAGCGUUGUCCGGAAUCAUUGGGCGUAAAGCGCGUGUAGGCGGCUUGGUAAGUCCGCUCUGAAAGCCCGGGGCUCAACCCCGGGAGGCGGGUGGAUACUGUCAAGCUCGAGUCCGGAAGAGGCGAGUGGAAUUCCUGGUGUAGCGGUGAAAUGCGUAGAGAUGUGGAGGAAUACCGAUGGCGAAGGCAGCCCCCUGGGAUAACACUGACGCUCAUGCACGAAAGCGUGGGGAGCAAACAGG